GCCUGGUUGGCUCAGUUGGUAGAGCAUGUGACUCUUGAUCUCAGGGUCAUGAGUUCAAGCCCCACAUUGGGCC